rnacentral:lncRNA from 1 species
AUUAGCUUGUGCCUAGCUAAAUUGUUAUCUGAUAAGAAAAGAAAUUAUUUUAUAGGCCAGGAGUUGGGGGAACAAAUCUUGGUAUAAACUGGGCAGUGUUUAAUCCCAGCACUCGAGGAAGAGGCAGGGGAUCUGUGUGAGUUUGAGGCCUGUGUGAGUUUGAGGCCAACGUGGUCUACAUAGGGAGUUCCAGGCCAGCCAGGGCUAGUGAGAUCCUGUCCGAAACGACCAACCAACCAAGCAACCAAACAAAAACCCAUAACCUUGAUGUAAUACUCUGCUUCAAAUAUUCAUGGCAUCUUAUAUUUUGUUUCUUCUUAUGAAAAUUCUUAAAGCAAUCUCACACACCAGAUCUCAAAAUCUUAUUUUCUAUAACAACAACAACAACAACACAUUAUAGACCAACCCUCCAUGCAUUUCCACUUGGACAAAGGCCAAGGUAAACAGGAACACAAACAUAGAAACAGACAGACAGACAGGCAGACACGCACACACACACACACACACACACACACACACAGAGGCAGUCAGGCCAUGUGAAACAGUGGAAGACAGGGAAACCUACAUAAAAUUCCUUGUCCUUCAGGAGCUCUUGGAAGCUGUCCCGUCUCCACAGAGAGAGCGCAGCACGCUGCCAGUCUGCAGAAGGAAGGUACAGAGGUCUCCAGGGGACGCAAGCUGCAUGCUCUGGAGCACAAGGUGCUCUGGCCUCUGGGAACAAUCUUAACACAACGAACUGAAACUGAAACAGACAGGGAGAAGUUCACAGCCAGUAUGAAACAUUCACAGGGGCACACCCAGGGACCACGCCCACCAGGGCAUCUUACCUGCCACCUUCUUGUGAACCCAUUACAGCCCUGACAGACACAGCACAUCAUGAGCAGGGGCGCAGGAGGAGCAGGGAAGCAGAGCAGGUCUCCCUGGGGUCUCCCUUAGCCCUGGCCUUGCUGAGCCCCUUCAGUGCAUGCAGGCUGCCCUACACCUGUACUGUCACACACACACACACACACACACACACACACACACACACACACACACACACCCUGAGCUAGCCAAGCAGCAAUGACACCAGAAGGGUCUCCUCAGUGACACAUUGAGAGCAUUUCUUGCUUAUCAGGGAGACGGAGAGGACUCUCGGCCCCUAUUUAACACGAACUUGACUAUUCAAGUGCGCAACCCUUUGCACAAGACCAUGCUGGGUCUUCAAUCUGCACCUAGGCCCUAGAACCAGGUCUCUCAAAGCAUGGAUGUAGCCCAAAUUCCUAGGAUGCUUCAGGAAUGACUUCAUUUAUCUGGGCAGGGCUUAUGAGUACAGAGACUCUUCAAAAGCUUGCCUGUUGAGUCUUUUUAUUAUUUUAUUAUUUGGAGACAGAGUCACAGGAAGCCCAAGCUAGCCUCAACCCCGUUACAUGGUCAAGAAUGACUGAGGUUUUUUUAUCAGGACCUUUUGAUCAUCAGCUCCUGAGUGUUGAGGUUACAAGGUAUGCCACAUCUUGGUAUAAACUGGGCACUGUGGUUUAUCUGGUGCUGGGGAUCAAAUUCAGGGCUUUUUAUUAGGCAAGCACGUGACUAACUGAGCUACACCAUCAGCCCUGUUAUUUAAGAUUCUCAUUUUUAAUGUGUGAGUGCGUGAGCGCGCUGUGUAUGUGCACGCAUGUGUGUGUGUAUAUGUGUGCACGUGUGUGUGUGCAAGCUUACAGAGACCAGGAGGUUGUGUUGAAUUUUGCGUAAGUGCUAGAAUCCAACCUCUAAUCCUUCCAAUGAAACAAGCGCUCACAAGUACUGAUCAUCUUUCUAAUCUCAUUUAUUUAGUGUGUGUGUGUGUGUUUAAGAAAAAGCAUGUGUGGAGGUCAGAGGUUAGCUCAUAGGAGCUGGUUGUUGCCUUCCAACAUAUGGUUUUCCAGGAUUGUACCCAGUUCCCUAGACUUGGCAGCUAGCAUCUUUACCCAUGGAGCUGUCUUGCUAGUCACCCCUCCUUUUUGGGUCAUUCAUUCAUUCAUUGAGAUCAAAUUUCUCUAUUCCAUCUAGCAUGGCCUAAAACUCUGGAGCUGGAGAGAUGGCUGAAUGGCUAAGGUUUCUUGCUGCUGUAUUUGUAUUUUUUUCUUCCUUUCUUGCUCCCUUUCCUUUCCUUUUUUUUUUUUUCUUCCAGACAGGGUUUGUCUGUGCAGCCCUGGCUGUCCUAGAACUUGCUCUGUAGAGCAGGCUGGCUUUGAACUCAGAGAUCUGCCUGACUCUGCCUCCUGAGUGCUGAGAUUAAAGGUGUGUGACACCACUCUCAGCUAUUGCUGCUCUGUUAUAAAAACCAGAGUAUAGUUUCUAGCACCCAUGUUGGGUGGCUCACAACUGCCUGUCACUCAAGCUGACCUCUUCUGGCCUCUACUGGCGUCUGUACUCCUUGCCCUCACACAUAAUUAGAACUCAAUCUUAC